rnacentral:rRNA from 1 species
CAAUAGCGUAUAUUAAAGUUGUUGCGGUUAAAAAGCUCGUAGUUGGAUUUCUGUUGAGGACGACCGGUCCGCCCUCUGGGUGAGUAUCUGGCUCGGCCUUGGCAUCUUCUUGGAGAACGUAACUGCACUUGACUGUGUGGUGCGGUAUCCAGGACUUUACUUGAGGAAAUUAGAGUGUUUCAAGCAGGCGUACGCCUUGAAUACAUUAGCAUGGAAUAAUGAGAUAGGACCUUGGUUCUAUUUUGUUGGUUUCUAGAGCUGAGGUAAUGAUUGAUAGGGAUAGUUGGGGGUGCUAGUAUUCAGCGGCCAGAGGUGAAAUUCUUGGAUUCGCUGAAGACUAACUUAUGCGAAAGCAUUCACCAAGGAUGUUUUUCAUUGAUCAAGAACGAAAGUUAGGGGAUCAAAGACGAUCAGAU